AACGAACGCUGGCGGCGCGCCUAAUACAUGCAAGUCGAGCGAGAAGACGUAGCAAUACGUUUGUAAAGCGGCGAACGGGUGAGGAAUACAUGGGUAACCUACCUUCGAGUGGGGAAUAACUAGCCGAAAGGUUAGCUAAUACCGCGUACGCUUCUUGGACUUCGGUUCAGGGAGGAAAGCGAUACCGUGGGUAUCGCGCUCUUGGAUGGGCUCAUGUCCUAUCAGCUUGUUGGUGAGGUAACGGCUCACCAAGGCUUCGACGGGUAGCUGGUCUGAGAGGACGAUCAGCCACACUGGCACUGCGACACGGGCCAGACUCCUACGGGAGGCAGCAGUAAGGAAUAUUGCGCAAUGGGCGAAAGCCUGACGCAGCGACGCCGCGUGGGGGAUGAAGGUCUUCGGAUUGUAAACCCCUUUCGGGAGGGAAGAUGGAACGAGCAAUCGUUCGGACGGUACCUCCAGAAGCAGCCACGGCUAACUUCGUGCCAGCAGCCGCUGUAAUAC
rnacentral:rRNA from 1 species